AACGUAGGUGGCAAGCGUUGUCCGGAUUUAUUGGGUUUAAAGGGUGCGUAGGCGGCCUUGUAAGUCAGUGCUGAAAUAUCCCGGCUUAACCGGGAGGGUGGCAUUGAUACUGCAGGGCUUGAGUAAAGUUGAGGUUGGCGGAAUUGACGGUGUAGCGGUGAAAUGCUUAGAUAUCGUCAAGAACACCGAUAGUGAAGACAGCUAACUAAGCUUUAACUGACGCUGAGGCACGAAAGUGUGGGGAUCAAACAGG
rnacentral:rRNA from 1 species